UACGUAGGGUGCAAGCGUUGUCCGGAAUUAUUGGGCGUAAAGAGCUCGUAGGCGGUCUGUCGCGUCUGCUGUGAAAACUCGGGGCUUAACCCCGGGCCUGCAGUGGGUACGGGCAGACUAGAGUGCGGUAGGGGAGACUGGAAUUCCUGGUGUAGCGGUGGAAUGCGCAGAUAUCAGGAGGAACACCAACGGCGAAGGCAACUCGCUGGGACGGUACUGACGCUAAGGCGCGAAAGCGUGGGGAGCGAACAGG
rnacentral:rRNA from 1 species